GGGAUUGUGGCUCAGUGGUAGAGUGCUUGCCUAGCAUGUGUGAGGCUCUGGGUUCAAUCCUCAGCACCA
rnacentral:tRNA from 1 species